rnacentral:rRNA from 1 species
AGUGAACGCUGGCGGUAGGCCUAACACAUGCAAGUCGAACGGCAGCACAGUAAGAGCUUGCUCUUACGGGUGGCGAGUGGCGGACGGGUGAGGAAUACAUCGGAAUCUACUUUUUCGUGGGGGAUAACGUAGGGAAACUUACGCUAAUACCGCAUACGACCUACGGGUGAAAGCAGGGGAUCUUCGGACCUUGCGCGAUUGAAUGAGCCGAUGUCGGAUUAGCUAGUUGGCGGGGUAAAGGCCCACCAAGGCGACGAUCCGUAGCUGGUCUGAGAGGAUGAUCAGCCACACUGGAACGGAGACACGGUCCAGACUCCUAAGGGAGGCAGCAGUGGGGAAUAUUGGACAAUGGGCGCAAGCCUGAUCCAGCCAUACCGCAUGGGUGAAGAAGGCCUUCGGGUUGUAAAGCCCUUUUGUUGGGAAAGAAAAGCAGCAGGUUAAUACCCCGCUGUUCUGACGGUACCCAAAGAAUAAGCACCGGCUAACUUCGUG